UAAUCUGGGUGACUGCUAAUUUUUUAAAAUUAGAGGAAAGUCCAUGCUCGCACUAACUGAGAUGUUAGUAGUGUUUAUGCUAACGAAAAAAAUAACGUUAGGUAUAUUUAAAAAUAUAACGGCUGAAUUCAGUCCUUUGAAAAAAGGAUAUGAAUUCUAUAAAAGUGCUACAGAGACGAGAUAGCAAGUAAUUGCUAUUGUGAAACGGAGUAAACCCCUUAAGCGAGAAACCUAAAUUUUGGUAAGGGAAAUUGGUUGAAUAAAACGAAAGGAGACCAGUAAGUUUAUGAAAAUAAACUUAGAUAGAUUGUCACCAUUUACAAAACAUGGCUUAUAGGG
rnacentral:RNase_P_RNA from 1 species